rnacentral:lncRNA from 1 species
UUGGACCUAGCGAAGGACUGGAUCCAUCGGUGCGAUUUAUGCGGCCAUAUCUAUCUGCAAGGGAGAACGGUGAGAUGGUCAUCGAAGAAGCAUUAGAGGAACAAAAGUCCUCCUGAACCUUUGAUUCUGUGGAGGGCAGGUAAAAGUAAAAUUUUGUUCCAAAAUUAUUUGAUAACAAGUUAAGUUCGAAUGUGAAAUUUGAGAUUACAACAGUACAAAAGAUAACUCUGAAAUCCUGAGGACAUUUCCCUUCAGAAAUGUCAUCAAUUAAGAAUGCUAAAAAGAUCAUCACAAAUACAGAUACAUAAGUGUAUGACACUUGGUCUAGCCUACCUGAAGGCCUUAUCUCUGCUGUAAAGAGAUGAUUGUAGGGGCACUUAUACAAAGACAAUGUCUUCUCCUCAAAGUGCACGGCCAACGCGGAAUCCGCUGCCUUCAGUCUGUCCUAAUUUUGCCAUGCACCCCAUGUCUGAUUAUCCACAAGAG